rnacentral:rRNA from 1 species
AACGAGACCUUAACCUGCUAAAUAGCCAGGCCGGCUUUCGCUGGUCGCCGGCUUCUUAGAGGGACUGUCAGCGUCUAGCUGACGGAAGUUUGAGGCAAUAACAGGUCUGUGAUGCCCUUAGAAGUUCUGGGCCGCACGCGCGCUACACUGACAGAGCCAGCGAGUUUUUCACCUUGGCCGAAAGGUCUGGGUAAUCUUGUGAAACUCU